rnacentral:rRNA from 1 species
UGGGGAAUAUUGCGCAAUGGGCGAAAGCCUGACGCAGCCAUGCCGCGUGUGUGAAGAAGGCCUUCGGGUUGUAAAGCACUUUCACUUGGGAAGAAAAGCUGUUGGCUAAUACCUGGCAGCCGUGACAUUACCUUGAGAAGAAGCACCGGCUAACUCCGUGCCAGCAGCCGCGGUAAUACGGAGGGUGCGAGCGUUAAUCGGAAUUACUGGGCGUAAAGCGCGCGUAGGCGGUUUGUUAAGUCGGAUGUGAAAGCCCCGGGCUCAACCUGGGAACUGCAUCCGAUACUGGCCGACUGGAGUACGAGAGAGGGAGGUAGAAUUCCACGUGUAGCGGUGAAAUGCGUAGAUAUGUGGAGGAAUACCGGUGGCGAAGGCGGCCUCCUGGCUCGAUACUGACGCUGAGGUGCGAAAGCGUGGGGAGCAAACAGGAUUAGAUACCCCCGUAGUCC